AAAGCCCAUGAGACGUUAUCGUGGUAUAACCCCAAAGUCUAUGAGAAGUUAUCAUGGUUUUAUUGCAUCCUCUUCAUUUGGCUAAUGAAGGAGAGCAAAAAGAAAUAACAACCUUUCCUCUUCUCUUGUCUCCUCCAAGUGGACUUGGAUGAUGGGUGCAGAUAUUCCAAGGAUAAGUCUGGUUCCUCCUGGAAAGUCCUGAAUGCCGAGUUACUUUUCGCCCAUUGCCCUUGAUACUGAGGCAGGUUCAUUCUGCUCAUCAUCUAGAAAGCCAAUCACUGAGACAACAAGUUUUGCAGUAUAGAAAAUAUUGAUUCACGGGGCAAUCCAGUAUGGAGAUGAGAGAACAGCUCUCAAAUCCACUUCUCCAAAGAUAGGGUUGAGGGAUAUAUAUGGGGUAAAGAAGUGGAUUGGUCUAAGACAUAGGGAAAGGUGAACAACAGUGGGAAAAAUGAGGUGGUCUGUGAUCUGCCAAACAGUCAGGGUUCAUGGCUCUUCAUAAGACACAUGUUCAGAAAAUGGUGGUGUUAGCAUGAUCUGAGGGAGGAGUUUUUGGCUUUAUGACAUCAAAAGGCCGCCACUUGGGCAUUUGCACAGGCCAAGUGGUCUCAGCUGGCUCAAGCCGGACAAGAGCUGACCCUAAGUUCCUGAGAAACAACUUAAGCAACCAUUACAUCAAUACAUCAGAGGUAUUAAUACAUUAAUCAAUACAGCAGAGGUAUUAUCUAUAAGGAAGCUUGUGAAGGCUAAGUUACAGCAUAUAGCAGCCUGCUUUUCAGCAAUGUAGGUUAAAAAAUCAACAAGAAGCAAGUAACUAAAAAGAUUAGACCUUGGUUUCACCAUCAGCUUUAAGGCUUUAGCUGAAGUUGCAGUGAAGACAGAAAAAUAUCUUUCCAUGGGCUGUUACACAGAUUCUUCCUCUUUAUGAAUGAAGAUUUACCCCAACUAGGACAGAAACAUAAGAAGAUGAAGUGACGGAGAUGUCUGCUUCAGUGGUGAUCUCCCCAUCUCUACUGGAUUUCUCUUUGGCUAAUGCCAAGGGGUCCUUAGCUCUGGCCCUCCACCCAGAGUGAUGUGUCUAAUCCCAACCUUGUGUACCUUGAUCCCUCUGCAGGACAUUGGGUGUCCAUUCCCCAAAGAAGCACCAACCAAUUUUCAAGGGGCUUUUACACCACUUGGAUGGGUCUUCAAGACUUUACUUCCAUAAGACACUAAAACAUUACAUUAUGAAAACUGGCUACAUAAAUACUAGAAAUUGAAAAUCCAUAACCAGCAACAUACAUUCGUUCAUUAAACAUAAAAUGUUUCUUUUAACUCCAAAAAACAUCAUCCGAAGCAUUCAACCUAAAGCAUACCAAAAGAUGGGAGACAGUGUUGAACUUUAUAAAUGGCAUCCACUCUCAGUUACCCCCAUGUGAUUUAUUGAGAGGAAAAUGUUCAUCUUCUCCCAGUUCAGUUUGUGCCUGGCUCACCUGCCCCUUGUGUUGGUGUGACAUUAAGGAAUAAAAUCUAACUCAAUAUCAUGCCUCAGAAGGAAGUAGAUGGUUGAUCUGCUCAAGGAAAAAGCCACAUAAAGCACCCUAAAGCCAAAUACUUGUCAUUUCCAGGAAUUUUUAGUAGAGAAAAGAUUUAUUCACAGUGCAGCCCAGCACAGAGAUGGGAGCAAAGCUCUGGAGGAAUCCUCUGACAUUAAAUUGUCUGUGACAUAGUGAAUUUGAUAGGAAAAACCAAAGCAGUCAUAUGCUUGAAUUCUUAUACACAUCAAACCUAUUGAAAGUUGAAGGGAUGGUUAUAUGUCAUAACCACAGCAUAAGGCAAGUUUAAGUUUGACCAUUUCUUUUUCACAGUUCCCAGCACUGACAAAAUAGGCAUACACAUGAAUUAUCAACUGGGGUUCAUGCUACACACUCUCACAAGAAAUGGGGACCAUGACAAGGAUAUGGUGAAUAGGAGGGCAAGUAGAGGAGCUGAGCCUCAGCCAAGGUACACCACAGGACACUUUUCAGUCUGGGCCAGCCCUCUGGUAUUAGUGCUCAAUACCAGGAAAGGAGGAGAAGAAACAGUUGAGAGGGCAGGAUACACAAGCUCUACCUAGCAUCACUCAGUGCCUUCAGAGAGAUCAGCUAGCUCCACCAGCCAUAUGAGUGGCAACAGGUUGCCUCAAGCCAUUUGCACUAUGGCUCUGCUCAUUGUCCUCACUUGGGUACCUGCCUGGCCUCAGAACUCACAGUUCCAAUCUGUCCCUGAACCCUGGCCUGGUCUCACUUUUCAGCCCACUCCCAUUCCCAGGUUUCACAUGUCAAUGUGUUCUUCACACUGUUCUAAAGCCUUUUAGAAAAGGCUUUAAAAGGCUCAAAUUCACUAGUGCCUACUUGGAGAGGUCUAGCCAAUUUCCCCUCACCAUCCUAUCCCCCUUUUUAUUGACUGGGACUGACCCCAUCUGGGAGUGUUUUCUCUGUCUCAUUCACAUCCUUUAAGAUGCUAUUCGUUUCCCAAUUAUUCUAAGCUAGGUGGAGCUGAUGUUCAAAAUAUUUAACAACUGGUAUAUGGUACAGGCACCGACCUAUCAGAACAGAUUCUAACCAUAAACAAUCAUCAGGGAAGGGGAGGCACACAUCUACUAAAUAUAUAGACCCCAAAGAGAGGACAAAGAAACUUAGGCUUGUGUUUGUGCCCAUGGCUUUUCUUCUGCUGUUUUUCAAGUGUCCCACAACUGUGUAAAAUUACAGCUAGCUUGACCAAGCACAUCAUUCAGAGAUGAAACUCUGUGUUUGUGGGAAGAAAAAGCAUUAUAUCUAUAUUUUUAGGUUUGGGGUUUUGUUUUGGGGUUUUUUUUUAUGUUUAGGUAAUAUAACUCCUAAAUAUGCAUCUUCACACGUAGAAAUGUCAAUUUUAAUAACAAAAGACAAACCCUGUCCACAUUGUCAUCAUAUCAUGAAGCUACUAGGAUCUCUCAAGAAAAUCCAUCCUCUGAAUUGGGGUUUUGUCUACAUUCAGGAGGUCAGGAAGAACUACACUAGCCAUCAUAAGUUGUCUUCUUUACCACUCUGAGGGAACUAUGCUAGCUGUCUUAUUCCUGUCCAAAUAAGAAAGUCUGAUUGCUAUCUGAGGAAGAAGCCCCCAUCAAAUAAAGAUUCUCAAAUAUAAAUUCUAUUUUAGUGGGCAAAGGCUGCUUAUCUGAGCAAUCACGAUUAAAGCAACAGCAUUUCCUGGAAAUAAAAGCGCAUGCAGAGGUGUUUGGGAGCCCAAAGCAUUAUUGACACCAGCCGGAAAUUAAUCUCUAGAGAAAGCUCUUCUUCAAGUGUCUCUGUUAAGGGCUAAACACACCCUAAAUGUAACUUCAGCAUAGCCAUGCUAACUGUUCCUCACACUCCCUGGGCUACCAGCCUGAGACAGGCAUCAGCCCAGCAGAGCUUGGCAUUAUAGGACAUCCAUGGAGGCAGGGCCUGACUCUAUUAGGUCAUCUGCCCAACUUCUCCAGACUCUGCAUAUUUAAAACACACAAAUUUCCUUUCCCUCCAAAAAAAAAAAUCCAUGAAUUUCUUGAAUAAUAUUUACUGGAGAAUAGGUAUAGCAAAAUAUGUAUAAAUCAGGCUACUAAUGUUAAUCGUAAAACUGAAAUUAUAAACUUCCCUGUUUUUGCCAUAGUGUUUUGCCACCUUUGAAGCUUUGAUCUGAAAUACACAUAUACACACAUAUAUUUAGUCAGAGUAUUUGAAUAACCCAAAAGACAAAAGACUGCCAGUGGACAGCAACGUCUCACUAGGGCUAUAGAGUACGAUGCCUCUAUCAGAGACCGAGGGCCUUGCUCAUUCAAUUCAGCAUUUUGUGGGCAUCUCUGGGGUACAAUUAAGCCAAUUUAGUCUGAAAGGAAAGCUGUUGGAUCAAUUAAAGGAUAAGAAUAAACUAACACAUAACAAGAGUAUUGGAAAUGGUUUUGAUUUUUUGGAAAACACGUAAGUGUAUAAUCUGAGGCUGGCAAGAAAACAGCCACACACGGCAAGAAAUAAGAAGGAAGCCAACCACCACUGGAACCUCAGACAUGAAGAGAAAUGCUAUUUCAUACCAGUUUUGUUUGAAUCGAUGGGCCAGAUUUUAUACAGACUCCAAGAACCUGAUACUGCUGUUAACAAGCUGCUUGUAUCCAUGGUUUUCUAAGAAAUGCUCUGGCCCUGAAUUUAAAUCUCACCCAAAAGAUAAUUAUUAUUCUUAGAACUAACUCCCUCUUCCUCAUAAGUGACUCAUGUGGGCCAGGUAUGCAAUAUUUUGCUCUGAAUAUUUACAUCUUCCUCUGGCAGAGGUUUGACUUUGGCCUUGGAGAAACGCCAUUGAUGAAGUUAUAACCGAGAGCACAAUUUGGAUCAGAGGUAGGUUUGGCCAAGCUGAGUUCCAGGGUCAAGUGUCUAGGAGAGGCAGGAAUAGAGAGAUAGAUUAAACAGUGGUCAGGAUGGGAGGGAACCAAGGAUUCAAAGGCCUAAUUCUCAUAGGGCAAAGCUCUGGAGCCAAGUAUCAGGCCAGAUUGCAAGAUGCACAGGGUACAAGUAGAAAUGGGCUGCUUGGAUGGGGUGGGUUGGGGGGACCCAAGGUAAAGAGGCAAACAAUUGUGGAUUGAAGAUAGCCCACCAGCUUCCACCAUCUCCUAGGAGGCGUUCUAAGUAAAGAGAGGCAAACAGCAAGGCAGCAAACCCUGGGAUCAGACUGGACAGACGGUUUGCCACUUGUCCAAGUUUGAUUGGGUAAACUCUGAAAAGUUUUCUUCCUUUUGCUACUGCUCAACUUUAUUAUCAACCUCUACAAAUACAUCAAGCAUCUAUCUCUACAUCACUGUUUUCAUACAGUUUGACUUUCACCAGAGAAGUUUCCUGCUUUCCAGAACACUGGUGUGAAUAACCUCUCAGUGCAUCCACAUUCCUAUGCCAGCUCUCCAUUUCGCCUUCCACACUCAGGCUCUCCAAACCCUAGUCUAGCUCCAAACCAAGCCAGGCCUGAAAGAAGGAAGUGGUUGAGUUACUUCAGUUCACCCUCCUGUCCCUUCUGACCCCAUCCCCCAUCUGGUAGGGCAUAGUGUUAAGCUGCCUGCCUGGAGACAGAUGGAGGAGUGGUGCCCAGGCCACAGCAUUGUGCCUGGAUCCAUGCUGGCUGCUAUUCCCUGAAUUUCCUUGAAUUUCCCUGACCUAGAUACAACCUCAUGAUAAGAGUUUGCUGAGCCUUCCAGGAAAACUGUGCCCACCUACAUAAACCUCAGCUGCAAGGAUCUGUGGCUGGACUCAAUGGUCCAUAGUCUACCCUACCACACAGGUGAUAUUGGUGAAGGAUCUACCCCUUCAGACACUCCCUACUGUGACCAUGUCUUACAAAGUAUAAAUCGCCUGAUCGUGCUACCAAAUUCUAAUGUGUAACCCAUCACCCUUUUAAGUCAUGGCGUAAACUAGUACCAUUUUUGUAGAAUGGCAUUGACAUGUGUCUCCUUAAAUAAUAUUCCAAUAGCAACUGACUCCUUUUUCAGAAACAACAAGUUCACAGGCUCUGGAAGAGAAGGGAGGAAGAGCAAAGAGGAGUAUUGUAUAAAUCAUUCAACUAACAAGUGCCAAAAAGCUUUUUACAUUCUUAAUCACUGAACAGAAACAUAUGCAUAGAACUUGCAUUUAACCAUGACUGUAGACAGGUUUGGGUGUAUUUUGGUGUAUUUGUCUCAGUGCCUCAUGAGAGCACACAGAUGAAUAAUCAGGGAACUUACUUUAGAAAAGCACAAUUUAUUUGGGAGAAAUCUGGAAGGGCACCAGCGUCAACGUAUGGGACCCCUCCUCCCAUGCUAAGCUUUCCAGAACAGUCCCGAUUUCAAAUAUUCAGUCCUGUUGUAUAACCAAUUGAUACUUCAACACUUUCUCAUCCAAACUGCAUCUCCUGACCAUCUCACACACAUAGGAGUCCAUGUAUCCUGAUUUAGAGAGUUGGAAAAAAAAUAGUGCCCAUGGAUACAUUUCAGUAGAGAUGUUUCUCCAACUUUGGGCUUUUCUAGCUAAAGCUGCACUCUCUGCAUAAGACUCUUCACUGCACAGAUAAGAAGAGAGCUUCUCAAGCUUUUCUGAGAACCCUCAGAGAGCCGGUAGAAAACACCAGUCCUCUGACAGGAGUUGGGAGAGCAUUAAAGCAGAAGGCUCUAGCGAGCACUCACACCAGCAGAAAGUGGGCAGAGGAUGUGUGCCCUGGCACGAGGCUUGUCCAGGGGGGCAGGAAACUGGAAGAUACUUUGAACACUGGUAAGCUGCAAUCAUUGACAACUCAAAUGAGACUGCCUUCUAGGGCCACUAAAAGCCUCCUUUUGACAAAUUGGAAUCAAAUUAUUUCAAGUGUGAAGUACUAAACUGUCCAAUAGGACGUAUCCACAGAGUUUCCAAGUUGGCUCUCCCAGACACACAGGAUACUAAGAGAACCAUGUAGAAGGGUGAGACUCCCUGGCUCUUCCUUUACUGACCACUCAGCAAGAUCCUUGACCUUGGCAUUAUCUGUAUUAUUGCAGUCUAUCUUCCCAAGUCACGAAUUUGCUACUUUUCUCAUUCUGGGUCUGGGUGUAACCUUUUGGAGGUGCUCCUCUCAGCUUUGUAGUCUUCUCUAACUCAUCCAGCAGCCACAGGGCCAGGUGAGAGGUGCUCCACUUUCCGUCUAUUUCUGUUGGAGUUCACUCUGCUGGUAAUGUGGCACCAGCCACUGCUACCUAGUUUGACAAGGAACUCUCCAAUAUGCAUUCACCAUACAGCUAGCAUAUCUCCAACCUUAGCAUCCAAUAGGUAUCACAGUUUUUGAGGAGCUAUUAAAGGCAUCUAUCUAUCCACUGUCCUCCACACAUGGUGCAGAAGACAGAUGGUACAUGUUCUGGGGAGGGAAGAGUAUCUUGCAAACAACAAACCAGGUCUGCCCACGAAUAGACUUUUUGCACAACUCGCUGGAUUUCUCCACCCAGAACAUCCCUUCUGACAUCAGCUCCAUCACUUCCUAAUAUUCCCAUUAACACUUCAACAACUGGCCAAUACCUUAGGAGAUUCCUAAACACCUCUGCUGUGCCAAAAAAAAGGUGAAAGUCAGUGGUCCUCAAAUCAGGACCCAUAGGUGGGCAUCAAUGGGUUGCUACACACACUGAAAUGGUAUGCAAUGUUUCUCAUUUUUUUCUGCAAAAAUAUUCUAUAGCUUUCAUCAGCUCUUAUAGGAAUCCAUGACCCAAGUGAUGUUAAGUUCUACUGCUUAUGAUAUAUUCCAGUCAUGUAGAAAUUAUCCUUUUUCUUUUUAUGGAAAAUAGGAGAUACACCAUUUUCCUGUGCCUAAACUGGGAAACCACUGCCAGAAGCCUUUUGAAGUAACCUAGGUCAUAACCGCAUAGCCUUCCAGUUCUGUCAAACUUUCUUCACAGGCACAGUCCUGUGACCAGCUGUCCAUGGGUGCUGCUGUGCCUGAUUCAAUUAGUUCCUGGCUCUCUGCCCACAUCUUCCGGUUACCCAGCUUGGGGUCCUAGAUUUCAUCACUAGGGAAGCAUCUGUCUCCAUGGGCACCAUGGCCAACUUUGGUACCUACUUCCACCAGGAAUGGCAUAGACCACGAAUUUCUGGGUGGUCUCUUUCCCAUCUCUAGCACACCCUUCCAUCAGGGGAUACAGGAGCAGCCUGUUGUGAUCGUUAAGUAGGUUACUUAAAGGUAAGAGAGGGGUCAGCCCUGUCCCUGAACAUUUAAAUACAGCAAAGUGCACCUGUGCAUUCCUCUUAAGAAUGCAUAUAGAAGACCACUGCAUGCAAGAACAAUACCGCAUUAGUGGAUUCACCCGGUGAUAGCCUCCUGCUUAGUCCUGCCAAGACCUAACUGACUAAUCAUUUUCCCCUUCUUUCUGUGGCUCUUGAUAUCAGGCAGGGACCCAUUUCAAUCACCUUAUCUGGCUCAACAACCCAUUCUGCUCUUGCCUUGCAUGUUUCCUAGGUUUAGGCCCUGGCAAAGCACACUCUCUCAAACAUUUUACCAUAUAGGAAAUUCCACAGCCCAAUCCUUCUAGACUCCCUCACUUCCCACCCUCUUUCCCCUCAAAUCUACCUAGGAAGGUUUUUGAAAGAGUUUUCGUAUUUAUAUGUUUUUCAGAUACUUAGACCAUUUAAGAGGAAAGGAGGGCAUUUCAAGCAUCAGUCCAGGCAGUAGAUUUGCCCUCAUUUUGCCAUUUCAAAUUUUUAAAAGCAAAGAAACUGAGUAUCACGCUGAAGUGAUUAUUUUUUUCUUUUUCCCUGAUGCAAGGUGGGGCUCUGGCUCUCGUGGGGUGGAUGUUCAAAUGCUUCCUUUUGAUGUUGAGUAAUGCAAUGUCCAGGGAAGGCCUCCCUGUCCCCUGCGUUCUCCAGACCACCUAGCAGGCCAGACCUCAUCCUGAAGUUGCUUCUUUCCCAUAUGGCUUUAGUGGCUCAGGAUGACUGGUGGGACACCUAUUGAGAGAUAAUUCCUAGCCAUGCGGCUUUGCCCCCACAUGACUGCCUGCUCCCUCUCACAGAGCAGAAAUCCCCUGUGGGCCUCUGGAGUGCUGUCCCGGGUCCUGGUCUGCACAUUCUCCUGAGGCACUUCGCAGCCCUUCCUGGGAAUCAUCCAAAAUGAGGUGAUUCCAGCCAGUUUAAGGUGAGAGCAGCCAGCAAUUCAAUCUACAUACUGUUUCUUUGGAAAUUAAACAUGUAUAUAAUUCAAUGAACUGAUCCUGAAUAAAUAGCAUAUUCUGAUAUACGCUACGGAGGCAGAGGUGGAAAAGAAAUCUCUGACUUAGCCCUGAGUUUUGAUUUUUAGCCAUUUGUUCUGCAAAUGGAAUUGAGUAUACCACAAAUUCUGUUCCCUCUCAGAGGCACCUUUCCUCACUUCCACCUCACAAAAGGAUAACUGGGGCUGCUCUUGAUUUUGGCUCUUCCUGGUCAGCGCAUGGGGUUAUCAUUGCUCCAGCAGAGGCUGUCAUGGUUUCUAAGAAGUUAACAUUUUGCUGAAUGAAACCAUGGCAGAAUUCCAUCUGGGUGGCAAAUUAAGCAGCCUGUGCAUCCUCAGGGUGGGGGUGGGAGGGUCUAAUUUCCAUUGGCAAUUUAUGAAAUAGCAGGAAAGAAAGAUUACUGGAAAGUAAGCCUUACAACAGAUGCAGAGUUGAUGGAGGCUGCAAAAAAGAAAAGGAAAACCACAACUCUCAAGCAGCCUUUUAUUCCUUAUUUUACUCACUUAGGAAAAGUUACUGUCACUGGCAUGCCCAGCACUGGGUCCCUGCUCACACAGUGAACAGGCUCCAUAGAGAAGACAUUUUGACGGUAACAUGUGAGAAAGGAGGCAGAGAGGAGGCAGGGGUGGGCUUGUGACAUAUGAGGCCCUGUGUAUGAGAAGAAUCUCUUGGGUAAAGGGUCACACUUAUAAAGCGAAGGCUACUGUAUUUGAAACACCAUUUCCCUUUUUGCUAAGAACUCACCGAAGGUCAUGUUGAACAGAAGUCUUGAAUGAUCAAUUCCAUGAAAUUUCCCAAGUUAUCUAUUUGAGUAGCACACUCACCACCAACACACAGCAAAGGUGGUAAAUCCAGGAGAAAACCUAACAAGAGCAAUUCAUAGUCUCCUGGAUCCUAGCAGAGCUGGGAGCUGGGUGCACACUCCUCUAACCUUUGUAUUCUUUUCAUUCUUUCAUGCCCAGUCUCAACAUUUGAAGAAGGAAAAGAAAUGUUAUUUAAAAUAAUGGGGGAUUACAGUUGCUUGUCUUCAAGGGGACAUGGCAUGAUCCAUCUCCCCAUAGGUGGUUUUUCUGUACAGCUACCAAUUUGGUGGAUCUUGAUGGAGCUUUUAGGAUGUGAGAAGUUAAAGCCACUGAGUUAGUCUAAAUGGGUGUUGAUGGCAGUGACUGCUGCUGAUACGGAAGGGAAGUGCUGGGAAGGGAAGAGUGUGGUCCCUUUAAAUGAUACAGAAGAGGGGAAAGGAAGUGCUGGCUAGAGGAGGGCAUGGUCCCUGGCUAGGGCUCCACCUCUGGGCCUGUGCCCAUGGACCUAGUUGAGGACAGGAAUUUUUGUUUUCCUGCCCAAAUGUUGCAUUUCCCAAGACCACCCUGGCCUACCAUGACCCCAUCCUGUGCCUAUAAAAACCCCCGAGACCCUAGCGGGGAGACACACAGGCAGCUGAAGUCAAGAGGAGCACAUCAGCGGAGGAACACACGGGCAGCUGGAUGUUGAAAGGAACACACUGACAGGCACCAGCAUCCCAGCAGGCCACCAACUGGCAGAAUGACGACAGAGUUUGCCUGGGGAAGUUGGAGGAGAGCUCUGGGGAAAACCAUCCCCGGAGAGACUCCAGGGGACAAUCCAUCUCCCUUCUGGCUCCUCCAUCUGCUCAGAGCUCUUCCUCCAGUGACACUUCUCAGUGAAACCCAAGUGAUUCUCCAAGCCCAUGUGUGAUCCAAUUCUUCCGGUACACAAAGGCAAGAACCCCAGGAUACAGAAAGCCCUCUGUCCAUGUGAUAAGGCAGGGGUCUAACUGAGCUGACUAACACAGCCACCUAUGGACCCUAACAGAGUCUACUGUAACACAUGCCCACUGGGGUUUCAGUUGUGAACACUCAAGCCCUAGACGUUGUCGUGGAGUCAGAGCCCCACAGCCUGCCCGUCUGCAUGCUCCCCUAGAGGCCGGAGCAGCAAGGCACUGAAGAAGCGAGUCAUACCCCAUCACAUGCCCUGCGAGGAGGACAAGGAAACUUCCCAUUACAACUGGGGAUCGUCUGGGAUCGCAGAAGAAUGUGCAACCAGUUCUCUUCACCAUCCCCAGCUUAUACUCCUCUAAAGUGUAUCCUGAACAAUUGGGACUGCUUUGAUCCUCAGAAUCUGGAGGAAAAUGGCCUCAUAGCCCUCUGCACAAAGACCCUAGCAGAUAGACACACAGGUGCUGGACAUCAGGAAGAGCACCACCAGUGAAGAAAGACAUGCACACGGGCAUCGGGACAUUGAGAGGAGCACACCGACAGGCACCAGCAUGCUGGCAGGCCACCAACCAGCAGAACAAUGUGGAGUUUGGCUGGGGCAGUUGGAGGAGAGCUAGGGCCACCAACUGGCCCAACUCCAGGGAAAAAUCAUCUCCCUUCUGGCUCCCCCAUCUGCUGAGAGCUACUUCCACUUAAUAAAACCUUGCACUCC